rnacentral:rRNA from 1 species
CCUACGGGAGGCAGCAGUGGGGAAUAUUGGACAAUGGGGGGAACCCUGAUCCAGCCAUGCCGCGUGUGUGUAGAAGGCCCUCGGGUUGUAAAGCACUUUCAGUGAGGAAGAACGCCUGGUGGUUAAUACCCAUCAGGAAAGACAUCACUCACAGAAGAAGCACCGGCUAACUCCGUGCCAGCAGCCGCGGUAAUACGGAGGGUGCGAGCGUUAAUCGGAAUUACUGGGCGUAAAGCGCGCGUAGGUGGCUUGAUAAGCCGGUUGUGAAAGCCCCGGGCUCAACCUGGGAACGGCAUCCGGAACUGUCAAGCUAGAGUGCAGGAGAGGAAGGUAGAAUUCCCGGUGUAGCGGUGAAAUGCGUAGAGAUCGGGAGGAAUACCAGUGGCGAAGGCGGCCUUCUGGACUGACACUGACACUGAGGUGCGAAAGCGUGGGUAGCAAACAGGAUUAGAUACCCCAGUAGUC